rnacentral:lncRNA from 1 species
GUUAGCAUGUCAUUAUCAUCCUCCCCACAAUCCCUAGAAUUAUACGUAGCGUUAAUUGGGUUCCUAUAUUCGUACGCUACUACUAAACUUUCGUACAUGUAGUUCCACCUAGUCGGGCAAGGUUUAGGAACCUUUCUUUCUCUAAGUCCAUGUUCGUCACACCUUUUAAAAUAUUCUCUAAGUCUACUUCUACGGUUUGAAUAAAAUAGCCAAUUAAGAGACAUUUUAACCUUUUCAAUUUCUAUGUUUAAUAUUCUCAUGCCAUCACCAACAAU